UUUAAUCAAGAUAGUGCAUGCCCUGCUUGGAGGAAACCAAGUCAUUCAUUCAUCCAUUCAUCCAUACAUCCAUUCAUUCAUUCAACAGGCCGUAAGCCAACUAUGUGCAGAUACAGUCAGGUAUUGGGGACAUGACAUUGACAGCUCUUCAGGAAGCUAGGUCUGGUGUUGGUACCAGAGCACAGGCCAGAGCGAGCGGGCCCAUCUGCUUCUAUUUCACUCCACGUUACUCAUCAGGAUGUGUUUGCCAGCAGUUAUUUGAUGUUCAGGAAGAAUUCCGAGGCUUUUGAAAAGAAGUGAAUAAAAUCUUUAAUCCCC